GCUGAACUGUGAGUCAAUUAAACCUCUUUCUUUUGUAAAUUACCUAGUCUCAGGUAUGUUUUAUAGCAGUGUGAAAUGGACGAACACACCUAUCAUACUAGUUACUAUCUGUAGAGCUCUCCUUGAUAUUUUUCACUUUCUAAUGCAGUGCAAUUUCACUCUGCCUGUUUUUUCAUGGUCUGACCCUAUCACUUAUAUUAAAUAAAUAGUUUCAUUGUGUUUCCUACAAUACUAUCUAGAAUAUGAGGCUAAGUGUCCUGUGAUAUCACAUUUAACUGUAAAUAUUGGGAGGAUUCUGGAGUGCAAAUCCUAUUUGGAAUAACAGGAAGCUCAUGCUCCUCUUACAAGAAUUUUCCCUUUUUAGCAUCCAGGCCUCUCCCACCUCAUCCAAUGUAUCUUCUUUUUGAUGUUCUACUCUAGGACUAGAUGUGAAAUUUCUGCCUGACUGGGCCUCUCUGAGAUGGAUAUUCCUAGAGCUUCAAAUGAAAUCUGAAAAUCAGCCACCCUAGCAGUAACAAGCAACCCCAUUUCAUGGGGAUCUUUAGGAGGUCACUCCAACAACUGGAAACCUCUGUGGCUGGUGGUGCGUCUGCUUGGGAUUUUCUCGCUCCGGCCCCAGACUCCACUCCGAGCUGGCAGCCUGGCCCCUAGGCUUCAGGUGGUCCCUGGCUUGAAGGUGGGGCUUCACUGGACCCACUCUUUUCUGCCCAGGAACCUGUUUGCCUCCUACCAGCAACAUGCUGUCCACAGUGCCCAGGCUAUUUGUGCAGAAAGGUGCCUGGAGGCCUGCACUGAGCUACCCUUAGCAGCCCAGGCCUCCCUCCCAUGCUCACUGGUGCCCAAAGUCUGGAGAAGACUGAGGUGGCAGAGGGCUACUGUGUCAGCGCUGCCACAAGAGCAUAUGCACCCAGCCAGGUCACAACAGUGCCCAGACUUGGCCACAACUUUGCUCCAAAAUCAGAAUGGAGCCAAGAGUGGGGAGAGGGAGCCGGAGUAGACACUUUCAGGCCUGCAGGGGCUGGGCCGGGUAGGGGGACAGUUCCUGGGCCCCCAAGAAUGCAGGGACGGCAGGGUGUGGAGCUGCAGCUGGGGGGUUCUAGCUGUGCCCAGGGGCACAGGGCUUUCACCCCGCCAACUCAGUAGAGACUGGGGCUCCUGCCUGUUCUUGGUCCCUGCUGGCUCUGCGGAGCACACAGCCCUGGCUAUGCCUCCCCUGCUGCAGCUAGUGUCUUCACAACGCCUGUUCCAGAUGGGCUGCCACAGCCAUCAACUUGAAACUAUUUGUAUCUUUAAAAAAUAUAUUGAAUAACCUCCAUUAUGCUUCAAGAUUUCCUUUGUCAAAGCAAAAAGCUAAACAGGCAAGGAAGACUUUGUUUAAGACUAUUUUAAUAAAGAUAGAGUCUAACAAAUAAGUUUGCUCAAUAUUCCUUCAGGAGGACUCUACCAGUGUCCUAUGUAUUAUGAAGGUUUCCGUCUGUGGCUACUUGCAAACAUUUAUUAUUUCUAGUUUUUUUAAAAAACACGUUUCCACUGCUUUCUGAUGGUCUUCUCUCUACCACUGGGUAUUUCCUCUUAUACAAGUAAAUUUCAGUAUUCUCCCAAACACCUAAAGGCACCAUUUGCUCUCUUCCAUUGUACUUCUACCUUCUCUGUUCUUAUGCCCCACAAAUUCUAGCUUCAUUGGUCCCCAAUAACUUUUCAACUUGUCAAUGUUCCUGGGCUCUGUUUGUGUCUUCCUUUUCUUUACUGCUCUGUAGAAAUUAGCUACAGGUACUAAGUCGAAGCAAUCAUCAGGUUCCUCUCAUUUGUUUCUGUUGCCUCAGGGUUCACAGGAGUGUGCUGCCUAUUAUCCAAAGCCCCCAAAUCGUUAAUAUAUUAUUUAUGAUUAUUGUAUUUGUUUUUUUCACUAUGAAGAAAAACAUCUGAUAAGUUUUUUCUCUCUUAAUUAUUUUUAACUACAAUUAAAAGCUCAUGAUAAAUGGAAUGCAAAGAGGAUUAUUUAUUACAGUGAGAAUGUUUUGGCGUUAUACAGUAUUGCAUUUUUCAGUGAGUUUUUAUUAUUUGUAAACCAUAUUAAAUAAUGUAGUAUUAAUUCUGUGACAUGUCUAGUGAUUAUAAUACCUUAACGAUAAUGAUGAGUACAUCUAAUGUUGUGCUUAAUAGUAAUAGAACAAAAAACAAAACAUCUAAUAUUUGUUUCUUUAGAUACCAAGUUUAUAUUUGCAUGUUUGGAUUCAAUGUCCCAGAAGAGGCGAUGCAAAUGAUAGACUCUUAGUUGACCUUCAAACUGGCCUCUCUGUGUUAUAAAAUGUAAACUCUUAUUGGAGUACCUUACAGCUUUUCCUUCAACAGUAGUUGAAUGCUAUUAGAGCAAUGUUUAAAAAAUUUCUGUCCCUUUAAAAUAUAAUAUUUAAAUUUAAAUACUUCAGAUAGCUUUUUGUGACAUAUAUCAUCAUAUAUUGCUGCAUUUAAAUUGGAAAUCAUGAUAUAUAUGCAUGUUCUUGAAGUUUUAUGUUUACCAUAUUAAAAACUGUAUGAAAAACCAAACCAGUAUUUUUUGAAAAUCUUAUAUAACAGGUACAAAAAUUACCUGUUCUGAAUCUGUUCUAUUUGAUGCAAAAAAAAACCCCUGAAGUUAGAAGUUUAGCAAAUUUAAAAUAUAAUAAAAUAAAAUAAAAAUUAUAAUUAUUUAAAAAUUUGUAAAAUUGUUGAUGCAUUAGUAAUUGAAUUAAUGUAUAGUGAAGUAAUCUAUUUACUUGAGAAAGAAAGACUUUAAAAAGAUAAACAAGCAGGUGUUUUAACUGUCAAUCAUCAUUUUAUAAUGAAGAGAUUAUCUACCUUCAAAAAAAUACCCAGUUACAAUUCUGUUGUCAAAUAAUCUGCAAACUAUCAACUCACUUAUUGAGUACUUAUAAGUAACUGCCUCCUUUCUUUAGCCAACACAUAUGGGGUUGAAGAUUUUUCAAACAAAAUAUUUCUUAGGUAUAUUUAUGUGUGGGGGAGCACGGUGGUGUUAAAGAUUGCAAAGAGAAUUUGUGUUCAGUUUGUAUGCAUUAUUUCUAAAGGACUUCAAAGCCUCAGUCAUUUUUGAUUAUUUAUAUUUUACCCAUUACUUCCUAAUUUAUCUUUCCUACUUUUCUUUCUUUGCUACCCCAUUAAUCUGUCCUCUUACAUAAUACUCAUUUUUCACUUAAAGCAUUAUCAGGAUGUUCCUUUUUCCUCUAUUCAAGUAGUAGUACUUCUACAAAGUAUUCCUAAGGCCUUGUGCUUACUAUAGACUAAGCUGUCUCAGGGUUCUCUAUGUUCCCAACUUACUAGCGUAAUUUUCCAACAUUACAGAUUGCAGCACUUUGAAAACAGAGAAAACACAAUGACAUUAACUGUUACUUGAGAAAAUCCAAGUGUCCUAAGUGGAAAUGCAUUACAAAAAUGACCUUAGCUACAGACUAUUAUCCUGACCCCAGUAAACCAGAAUAGACUUAAAGUCAGUUUAUGAAGCCAUUGCUCCUUUCGGCAGAUUUUUAAAGUCAUUACACUAAAACAACUAUAUAAAUUAAUAAAUAGAUUGAAAUAAGGUAUUUAUUUAAAUUAAUACGUAUGCAUGUAAGUGAAUGGGAAAUGUAUGUUACCUGCUCAGGCAUCCUUUCUAUGAAUUCAGAUCUAUAUAGCAAAUAAAACUACGUAAGUGAUCACAUAGUAGUUCUCCCCAUCCGUGGUUUCGUUUUCUGUGGUUUCACUUACGAAUAGUCAAUGAGAAGGGUGAGGUCACUAGAAUAAGACAUUUUGAGAGAGAAACAGAGAGAGAGUGAUAUCAUAUUCAUGUAACUUUUACUGCAGGAUAUUGUUAGAAUUGUUCUAUUUUAUUAUUAGAUAUUGUUAAUUUCUAACUGUACCUAAUCUAUAAAUUAGACUUUUUCAUAGCUAUGUAUGUAUAGUAGUUCCUCUUUAUCCACAUUUUGAUUUCUGUGGUUUUAGCUACUCAUGGUCAACUGCAGCUCCAAAAUAUUAAAUGAAAAUUAUCAGAUAUAAAAAAUUUCUAGGUUUUAAAUUGUGUGACGUUCUGAGCAGAGUGAUGAAAUCUCACUCUGCAAAAGGGAAUCCACACUGUCUACGCUACCUGCUUGUUUUUCACUUAGCAGCUGCCUCAGUUUUAAGAUC